UCGAACGGACUCAUAUUGAAACCUAGUGAUUUAUGAGUUAGUGGCGGACGGGUGAGUAACGCGUGGAUAACCUGCCGUAUACCGGGGGAUAACACUUAGAAAUAGGUGCUAAUACCGCAUAAGCGCACGGCUCCGCAUGGGGCAGUGUGAAAAACUCCGGUGGUAUACGAUGGAUCCGCGUCUGAUUAGCUAGUUGGCGGGGUAACGGCCCACCAAGGCAGCGAUCAGUAGCCGGCCUGAGAGGGUGGACGGCCACAUUGGGACUGAGACACGGCCCAAACUCCUACGGGAGGCAGCAGUGGGGAAUAUUGCACAAUGGGGGAAACCCUGAUGCAGCGACGCCGCGUGAGUGAAGAAGUAUCUCGGUACGUAAAGCUCUAUCAGCAGGGAAGAAAAUGACGGUACCUGACCAAGAAGCCCCGGCUAACUACGUGCCAGCAGCCGCGGUAAUACGUAGGGGGCAAGCGUUAUCCGGAUUUACUGGGUGUAAAGGGAGCGUAGACGGCAGCACAAGUCUGGAGUGAAAUCCCGGGGCUUAACCCCGGAACUGCUUUGGAAACUGUGCGGCUGGAGUGCAGGAGGGGUAAGCGGAAUUCCUAGUGUAGCGGUGAAAUGCGUAGAUAUUAGGAGGAACACCGGUGGCGAAGGCGGCUUACUGGACUGUAACUGACGUUGAGGCUCGAAAGCGUGGGGAGCAAACAGGAUUAGAUACCCUGGUAGUCCACGCCGUAAACGAUGAUUACUAGGUGUCGGGGGACCAAGGUCCUCCGGUGCUGGCGCAAACGCAUUAAGUAAUCCACCUGGGGAGUACGUUCGCAAGAAUGAAACUCAAAGGAAU
rnacentral:rRNA from 1 species